CGGGACACGUGGUAUCCUGUCUGAAUAUGGGGGGACCAUCCUCCAAGGCUAAAUACUCCUGACUGACCGAUAGUGAACCAGUACCGUGAGGGAAAGGCGAAAAGAACCCCGGCGAGGGGAGUGAAAAAGAACCUGAAACCGUGUACGUACAAGCAGUGGGAGCACGCUUAGGCGUGUGACUGCGUACCUUUUGUAUAAUGGGUCAGCGACUUAUAUUCUGUAGCAAGGUUAACCGAAUAGGGGAGCCGAAGGGAAACCGAGUCUUAACUGGGCGUUAAGUUGCAGGGUAUAGACCCGAAACCCGGUGAUCUAGCCAUGGGCAGGUUGAAGGUUGGGUAACACUAACUGGAGGACCGAACCGACUAAUGUUGAAAAAUUAGCGGAUGACUUGUGGCUGGGGGUGAAAGGCCAAUCAAACCGGGAGAUAGCUGGUUCUCCCCGAAAGCUAUUUAGGUAGCGCCUCGUGAAUUCAUCUCCGGGGGUAGAGCACUGUUUCGGCAAGGGGGUCAUCCCGACUUACCAACCCGAUGCAAACUGCGAAUACCGGAGAAUGUUAUCACGGGAGACACACGGCGGGUGCUAACGUCCGUCGUGAAGAGGGAAACAACCCAGACCGCCAGCUAAGGUCCCAAAGUCAUGGUUAAGUGGGAAACGAUGUGGGAAGGCCCAGACAGCCAGGAUGUUGGCUUAGAAGCAGCCAUCAUUUAAAGAAAGCGUAAUAGCUCACUGGUCGAGUCGGCCUGCGCGGAAGAUGUAACGGGGCUAAACCAUGCACCGAAGCUGCGGCAGCGACGCUGAUGCGUUGUUGGGUAGGGGAGCGUUCUGUAAGCCUGUGAAGGUGUGCUGUGAGGCAUGCUGGAGGUAUCAGAAGUGCGAAUGCUGACAUAAGUAACGAUAAAGCGGGUGAAAAGCCCGCUCGCCGGAAGACCAAGGGUUCCUGUCCAACGUUAAUCGGGGCAGGGUGAGUCGACCCCUAAGGCGAGGCCGAAAGGCGUAGUCGAUGGGAAACAGGUUAAUAUUCCUGUACUUGGUGUUACUGCGAAGGGGGGACGGAGAAGGCUAUGUUGGCCGGGCGACGGUUGUCCCGGUUUAAGCGUGUAGGCUGGUUUUCCAGGCAAAUCCGGAAAAUCAAGGCUGAGGCGUGAUGACGAGGCACUACGGUGCUGAAGCAACAAAUGCCCUGCUUCCAGGAAAAGCCUCUAAGCAUCAGGUAACAUCAAAUCGUACCCCAAACCGACACAGGUGGUCAGGUAGAGAAUACCAAGGCGCUUGAGAGAACUCGGGUGAAGGAACUAGGCAAAAUGGUGCCGUAACUUCGGGAGAAGGCACGCUGAUAUGUAGGUGAAGCGACUUGCUCGUGGAGCUGAAAUCAGUCGAAGAUACCAGCUGGCUGCAACUGUUUAUUAAAAACACAGCACUGUGCAAACACGAAAGUGGACGUAUACGGUGUGACGCCUGCCCGGUGCCGGAAGGUUAAUUGAUGGGGUCAGCGCAAGCGAAGCUCUUGAUCGAAGCCCCGGUAAACGGCGGCCGUAACUAUAACGGUCCUAAGGUAGCGAAAUUCCUUGUCGGGUAAGUUCCGACCUGCACGAAUGGCGUAAUGAUGGCCAGGCUGUCUCCACCCGAGACUCAGUGAAAUUGAACUCGCUGUGAAGAUGCAGUGUACCCGCGGCAAGACGGAAAGACCCCGUGAACCUUUACUAUAGCUUGACACUGAACAUUGAGCCUUGAUGUGUAGGAUAGGUGGGAGGCUUUGAAGUGUGGACGCCAGUCUGCAUGGAGCCGGCCUUGAAAUACCACCCUUUAAUGUUUGAUGUUCUAACGUUGACCCGUGAUCCGGGUUGCGGACAGUGUCUGGUGGGUAGUUUGACUGGGGCGGUCUCCUCCUAAAGAGUAACGGAGGAGCACGAAGGUUGGCUAAUCCUGGUCGGACAUCAGGAGGUUAGUGCAAUGGCAUAAGCCAGCUUGACUGCGAGCGUGACGGCGCGAGCAGGUGCGAAAGCAGGUCAUAGUGAUCCGGUGGUUCUGAAUGGAAGGGCCAUCGCUCAACGGAUAAAAGGUACUCCGGGGAUAACAGGCUGAUACCGCCCAAGAGUUCAUAUCGACGGCGGUGUUUGGCACCUCGAUGUCGGCUCAUCACAUCCUGGGGCUGAAGUAGGUCCCAAGGGUAUGGCUGUUCGCCAUUUAAAGUGGUACGCGAGCUGGGUUUAGAACGUCGUGAGACAGUUCGGUCCCUAUCUGCCGUGGGCGCUGGAGAACUGAGGGGGGCUGCUCCUAGUACGAG
rnacentral:rRNA from 1 species